ensembl:lncRNA
CCCGGCUCGAGCCGCGCGGGGCUCCGGGCGGGUGGAGGCGGAGCGACCCUCGGGAGAGCCGGGCACGCGGAGGUCCCGAGGGGCGGUGGGUGGGUGCUGAGCUUGGCCGAGGACCGUGCGAGUUGUGCAGGUGCGGAGUGGGAGCCCACCUGUGCCCACCUGUGCCUUCGGUGGGAAGGACUGCACGAGCUUCUCCGCUUGUCUGCUCUGAAGUGCCCGAAUUUCUGAUGUCAGCGAUGUUCUCGCCUUUUGUUUUUCCCACGCAGAACAGAUCUGCACUUUCUGGUGGGGAGAAAUGGUGCGCAUCCAUCCAGCCACCUUUAGCCGCAGCUCUUCGAAGUUAACCAGAACUCGUGCAAAAACUCUAGUGGGGACUGUACUCGUGCCUGCACCAGCUGUCCCUCCCCACUCACACUCUGUACCUCCAAACCUGAAAGCCGGGCCACAUUCUGAGCAGCCUAAUGCAUGGCCGAUCCCCGUUCAGCAAGGAGUUUGGUUGUCAGGACCCUCCCUUCAAUUUUCCUCCAUGCACGCAGUGUUUGACUGAUUUCCUACCACAUGGCAGGGAGAAGCACAGACAGCUCUCACCCAAGCAAGGCUUUGCGGCCAUCCUGCCUCACCUGCUGCUCAGGCCUCAUUCCACAUGGGAUGCCACGCACUUCAGCUUCCAGCCCAUCACACUGCCAUGAAAAGCUGCUUUGGACUGGCUCAGAGCUCUAAGCAGAGCCCAGUUCCUUUACUCUUUCAUCUAUAGUAACUAUGGUUUGGUGGCCCAUCUGUCAGCAGCCUCUAAUCUGUUGGGAUAAGUGAGGUGAGGCUUUCUUCCUCCUCCAGAAGGGGUUUUGUGUGCUCUGAGUCCCACUGCAAAUAUACAAUAGAAGCUAAAAUGGUUCUUCCAAAAACAAUGACGAUCUGCAGUCUUGGUCUCAUAAGCAUCUCUGAAAUGUUGUGCUUAAAAAGACACUGAUUAAGGCUACAAAUGAAAGCAUAGAUUACUUAAUACAACAGAAUGAAUUCUUAAUUCCAGCUAAAAAAAGAAUCCUCAGUACUUUGAUAUCAAGGGCUUUUAGGCUUCAAAAGCCUGAGCCUUUGGAUCCUGGGACAAAAGAGACCUUAAACAAGGUCUGUCUGUUUUCCUGUUGGUACACUCAUGCUGCCAGCAUCUAUCAAUAGGAAAGUCAUGGUUUGCUGCACUUCCCAAACAGGAACUGUUGUUCAUAGUGAUCCCAGCAUCUACCAGAAAGGAACUUUCUGCCUCAUGUUUCUGUACAAGCUGGUACUGCUCCAUGGUAAGUGCUGCUAUUUGGAGGAAAGCUCCAGAUUCAGACACAUUCAGAUCUUCUCAUUGCCACAGAGCAGCCAACAUGGACACACUUGAGGUUUCUCCUUGGCUUGGGCACCAUCCCACAGCAUGCUCAACAGAAGACCAUAUGACUUCGGGACCAUAGGAGCCCAAGAAAAAGACAACUCACCCCUCCCUUGUAUGCACUAUCACCAUCCUCCACAAUUUAUUUCAAUAAUAUCACACUCAGUGGAAUAGAAAACUG